rnacentral:lncRNA from 1 species
UCUUUUCUUGGUAAUGUGUUUGCAAACUCUGAACAAAAAUGAAAAUAAAGAAGUAUAAAUUACUUCUGCUGUCUGAUCCAAGCGUGUAGAAAAGCUGCAGGUGAAGCUACAAGCUAAAAUUCACGAGAGGGUCAGAACUGAUUUUAUAGGUAAUUAGCAGGGGAAGUUGUGUUGUCACCACACUACACACUGGCUAGGAAAAGAGAAGUGUCUCUGUGUCCUUUACUCAUUCACUGCUUGGUCUUGCUCAGACGUGUUCUCUGAGGCUGGAAUAUCAGGAUCUAUUUGCCAACAUCUCCUGCCUGUUUUCUGUGUACAGGCAGAAGAGGACUGUCAAGAUCUCUGCUCUUCUCCUUUGGAGUGCUGGCAGCAAAGGAAGACAAUUGGGCUGCAGAACUACAGAGCUGAAUAUGCUUGUUGCCUCCUUCACCACCAGGAACAAAAUAGAAUCAGAGAUGGACCACAUCAGAAGACAAAUACCAGUACUGAAGACUGGAGUGACAAGUAUAACAGAAGAGAGAUGAGGUGGAAGGCCUAAAUAUAAAACACAGGACAGACACUGACUUUGGCAUUGAAGGUUUUGACCAUCCUCAUCUGACUCAGGAUUUGCUCAAUGAGUUCUAUUAGCUUAGUGCUUUAUGUAGCAGGUGAAGAAAAUUUUGUCUGAAUGUUUCAAAAACCCCUUGCAUACUGGGGAGUAAAUUGAGAAAGCUUAAGUUAAACAAGUGCAGAGAUUUAAUGCAUUGAUGAACUAGGUUAUCAGCUGAUAUCCCAAUUGCUUGAAAUAUUCAUCUAUCUGAACAGCAUGUAAAAGUUGUUUUCAUUCCCACAAUUGUUCAGCUUUUUACCAAUCAUGCAGUUUUAGCCACAGUAAUAAUUCAUUUGGAAAAACGUGGAGACAAACAUUAUUCAAAUCACUUGAUCCAUUUACUAACUUGUUGAAAAGUGAACAAGAGCAAUUUUUUGAACUUUUUUUUUUUUUUUUUUUAAAUCAUGAAUUGAGGAAUUGAAGUAAGGAACUUUUAUAAAAACCCAACUACAUAAGGACAUUGAGCAGUUCUACAGCAGAAGAAAAAAAAAAAAAAAAGAAAUGUGAUCUGUUUGAAUAACUAAUUUUCUUGUAAGUUGUCUGAACUUGAAAACUGAAACAAAAAAUCCAGUCAGAUAAGGGAAGAUGAUAUACAUAUAUAUAUAUUUAUAUAUAUUUACAUAUAUAUAAAUAAAAACUUAAUACGGACAAAACCA